rnacentral:tRNA from 1 species
GGGGUUGUGGCUUGGUGGUAGAGUGCUUGCCUGUCCUGUGUGAGGCCCUGGGUUCAAUUCUCAGCACCUCA